rnacentral:rRNA from 1 species
AUUGAACGCUGGCGGCAGGCCUAACACAUGCAAGUCGAACGAGUGGCGGACGGGUGAGUAAUGUCUGGGAAACUGCCUGAUGGAGGGGGAUAACUACUGGAAACGGUAGCUAAUACCGCAUACCAUCGGAUGUGCCCAGCUGGGAUUAGCUAGUAGGUGGGGUAACGGCUCACCUAGGCGAAGAUCCCGAGCUGGUCUGAGAGGAUGACUAGCCACACUGGAACGGAGACACGGUCCAGAAUCCUACGGUAGGCAGCAGUGGGGAAUAUUGCACAAUGGGCGCAAGCCUGAUGCAGCCAUGCCGCGUGUAUGAAGAAGGCCUUCGGGUUGUAAAGUACUUGCAGCGGGGAGGCGUUACUCGCAGAAGAAGCACCGGCUAACUCCGUGCCAGCAGCCGCGGUAAUAC